UACGUAGGGUGCGAGCGUUAAUCGGAAUUAUUGGGCGUAAAGAGCUCGUAGGCGGUCUGUUGCGUCGGCUGUGAAAACCCGAGGCUCAACCUCGGGCCUGCAGUCGAUACGGGCAGACUAGAGUUCGGUAGGGGAGACUGGAAUUCCUGGUGUAGCGGCGAAAUGCGCAGAUAUCGGGAAGAACACCCGUGGCGAAGGCGGUUCUCUGGGACGGUACUGACGCUGAGACGCGAAAGCGUGGGGAGCGAACAGG
rnacentral:rRNA from 1 species